rfam:Danio rerio chromosome 4, GRCz11 reference primary assembly.
GCAUUGGUGGUUCAGUGGUAGAAUUCUUGCCUGCGAUGAGGGAGACUCGGGUCCGAUUUCCAGCCAAUGCA